AUGGUGAUGCCCAGUCAACAGAAUGGAGAAAAGAGAAAUUUGGUUUGAAAUGAAAUUUGAGUCUUGAAAGAGGGCUGAUAUGAAGGAGAAUCAAACAAGCCACAUGGGAGCAUCUGAAGGCCUGGAGAUGAGGGCCUGUUGCAUGGCUGUGAAAAUUUGGCCUUUAAAAUAACUAGGCAUGGGCCAGAAAUCACAGCCGGCAGCUGCGACCACCCAAGGCAGGAGAUCCAGCGGGGGACUACGGAGCUCAGUGGAGCUGCGGCUUGGGAGAAGCCCACCCAAGAGAACAUGUAACUAGAAACCAUCACAUUCGGCUUCGUGUGAGGGAGAAGCAGGUGUUUCAUUGCACGCGGUUACUGAGAUCUGGGGCUGUUUGUUAUUGCAGUGAGGACUCACCCUAACACACGAGGUGUUAUAUGCAUUUUACAGAUUGCCAAGAUGGUACAGACAGCAGAAGUGGCAAAACAACACUUAAACUCAAACCUGCCCAACUUCAAAGUCCAAGCCCUUCCCUGGGCUUCAGACUGCCAUCUUUGAUGCUAUCUUUCAUUGAGAUAUUGUUUGCAUUAAAUGGGGGAACUUCCGGCACACGGUGGGCCUUGCCCAGCACCCACUC